rnacentral:rRNA from 1 species
CCCCUUGAAGACUACAAGGUUGAUAGGCAGUAAGUGUAAGUGUGGUGACACAUUCAGCUAAACUGUACUAAUAGGUCGAGGGCUUGUCUAU